AGCCAUUCCCUCUAGUCCUAUCACUAGUCACCCAAGAGAAGAGGCUGACCCCCAGCUCACUACAACCUCCCUUCAGGUAGUUAUAGAGAGCAAUAAGGUCUCCCCUGAGCCUCCUCUUCUCUAGACUGAACAAUCCCAGCUCCUUCAGCCGCUCCUCAUAAGGCCUGUGCUCCAGACCCCUCACCAGCUUUGUUGCCCUCCUCUGGACACGCUCCAGGGCCUCGAUGUCUUUCUUACAGUGAGGGGCCCAAAACUGGACACAGUACUCGAGGUGCGGCCUCACCAGUGCUGAGUACAGGGGGAUAAUUACUUCCCUGUUCCUGCUGGCCACACUAUUUCUGAUACAAGCCAGGAUGCCAUUGGCCUUCUUGGCCACCUGGGCACACUGCUGGCUCAUGUUCAGCCUAGCAUCAAUCAGCACCCCCAGGUCCAUUUCCUCUACACAGUCUUCCAGCCACUCUGCCCCAAGCCUGUAACGUUGCCUGGGGUUUGUUGUGGCCAAAGUGCAGGACCCGACAUUUGGUCUUGUUGAAUCCCAUCCCAUUGGCUUCAGCCCAGCUAUCCAGCCUAUCCAGAUCCCUCUGUAGGGCCUCGCUACCCCCAGGCAGAUCAACACUUCCAGCCAGCUUGGUGUCAUCUGCAAACUUACUGAGGGUGCACUCAAUGCCCUCAUCCAGGUCAACAACAAAGAUAUUAAAGAUAUUAAAAAUAUCUUUUCUUGAACAGACAAUGAAGAGAGAGUCCAUACUCUGGGUAACUACUACUUAAAAAUUCAUCUGCUUUUCACAUCCCAAUAUGCCCAGUGCGGAGGGAAAGGAGAGAGGUACCUAACUGUCUUCAGAUGUGUUUCAUUUCCCCUGUCAUUUCAUGAAACCUGAAGCCGGAAUACUAUGAAAAGUGCAUUUGAGGCUUGAGUUUUCUUUCUUUUUAACAGCCUACUGCCUGCUUUUAAUGUUUACUGAGCUUUUGGCUGUAAAAAUGUAGCUGCAGCACAUGGUUGAGAGGUUUUUCUCAGUCUGUAGUCUCUGUCACAAAGGAAUUCCUCCUCCAGACUCCUUUGCCUUCCAUUCUGAGCUCCUCAGAGACCUCUGCUGCGGUCCCUGGCAGCAGAUCAAGGGGAAACAGCUUCAGUAAAAGCUCUCAUUGUAGCAACAAAACAUCAUUGAUCAACCAUGUUCAGUGCCAACAGCUUUUUGAAUCUGGCAUUUUUAAUGCCCAGUUUCUGCUUUCAUUCAAUUUUCAGGUAUCCUAUGUAAAGAAAGCCUCCUGAGAGGUUUUUUGUUGGUGUUGUUUUUGUUCCAUCCUCUGAGUUGAGUUUGAAACAAAAAUCUGCAGCUGAGUAGCCCUGAAAACAUCAGUCCAAAUCCAUUUCAGGCCAAGCCUGGCAGAGCCUUUUCCUGCCCUUCAUGUCUGUAGGGAAGGCAGAAGAAAAUAUGCUGAAGCACCAGCUGAAUAGUCGAACACCUGGCAGAGAGAGCUGCUCUGCUCAGCAGAGCAGCUACAGCACAGGCAGUCAACAGCUGCAGGAGAAAGGCAGCGACAUCAAGAUGCACUCCAUUGAAAACUGGUAAUUGAUCUGUUCUGCCACGACACACUGAAACACCAUCCUUCCAUGCUGGAGUUGCAGGCAGAGUGGGAAUGACUGACUGUUAUGAAUGCUAUUUGCAGAAUACCAAUGCAGUGCCCUUUCUCCACUUAAUAGAAAUUUAGAGUUCUUCACAGGGUAAGUGACUGUGCAAUCAGAAUAAACCAAAACUCAUUCAGAAAGCUACGGUAAAUCCCAGCACCGAGCAAGGUAUCCCUCACCCGGGACCAGACAGCCAUUUAGGAGUCCCCAGUUUCCCUACACUCCUCCUGUAUCUGGCUGAAAUUCUCCACACAGGCAACUGAGCUGCCAGUGGCUGGUUCAGAGUGUUGGGCACACAGGGCUGAAGACAUCCAUAUUUGGUGGGACAGACCCUGGGUUAGUCUUCAAACUCAGGGCAAUUCUUUCAACUAAACUGGAGAUAUUCCGUUUUUAUAUCUACAUCCUUGCUGGCAGAGCUCAGCCUAUUGCAGAGAAAGAUUCUGAUCUUUCUUUCAUCCCCAUGGGACACUGACUUCAGUAAAAUACUCCAUGCUUCAUUUCCCAGUGUUGCAAAACAACUUAAUGGAUCACACACUUAGGGGAGCGUUUCCAUUAAUUUCUAGCUAACAUUUCACCUCUCAUAGCACCAAAAUGUCAGCGGCUUUAGCCUUUUCAAAGCAUUUCCUCCAAGAGCACACGAAGUAAAAAGAAGGCAACUCGCAGUCUUCCUUAGCUAGAUCCAACCUUAUGUCACCUCUGAGGAUGGCGGAAGAGUUACACAAAGCCCCUUUCACUUACCUUUCCUCUGAGCACUUAGCCCUUGAUGACUGACAUUUGUUUGUGUGUGGCCCUGAUCCUCUUCCUCUUUGCACAGAUAUCAAGCACGGAGCUUUGCUAUAGUUGACGUCAGUGGCAUUUUAUCAGCCAAAGAGCAGACAGAAGUGCAGGUACAGCUGACAGAGGAGGCAGGUUGUGCGAGCAAAAAUAUGCAUUUGCUGUUACCAAAAUGGAACUUAUGCUUGUCUCUUUGCAGCUAUAGUCCUUUGAAGCAUUACGGAACCCUGUGAUAACCUAGAUGUUAGAGACGGUAUAAUCACUUAGAGAGUUAAUGUGCAUAAACACAUAUAAAAUGAUUGUUUGCAUUAUUCCUGCACAGUCUUUGUACUGUAUUACUGCAUAAAUCAGAUCUAUUUUACUUUCAUUUGCUAAUCCUUCUACUCUUUUGGGAGCAUCUCAGUGAAUGAAUACACAUUCCAUAUCCUUACAGCCUUAAAAACAAAUGUAUGUUCACAGAUACAUCUUCGAGAAUUUUUUUGCCACAAAGCAUAUUAUUCAAUGUAAUUAUGUAAGAUGCAUGACAAAUCUGAGUGCAAAGGGGUGUGUCAGCCAGCAAGUCUUAACAGGAAAACUCAAAGCUUACACAUAGGUCCUGUACUUCUUUGGUGGCAGCUGCAGUCCUCUGAAGGUCAUAAUCUGUCCUGUCUUGCUCCUGCUGGUACCCAAGAGCAUAUGGCAGCCUUUGCAUGGAUGAGACAGUCACAAGUCAUACCCAUGCAGAAACCAGGAGAAAAAUCAGCAGGAUCAUUUGGAGCAUAUGGAUCCAACGAGGCUUGAAACCUGCCUGAGUGGAGGAGUACGGCAUGCUCAGCUGGUAGCAAACGGCUGUAUUUCUCAGAGAGGAUGAUCCUGUGAAAAGUGGGGUGGAAACUGGUGGCUCCCAGAGGGAUAAGGCUCAUGCUAGCUGGAAGUGAAGGCUACUUUAUAUAGUGAGAGGACAACCCAGAGGGAGUAUGUGAGAUGCUGCCUCAGUAUUAAGCAAUAAUUUAGCAGCCUCCUGUGGGGAAAAAUCCGUAUCACAUUAGGGAGAAGUUGCAUGGCAGACAAGAGAUGUGUUUACAAAUAUUUUUCCUUUGAUUAUUUAGAGGCUUCUUGCAAAGCCACAUUGUACUUCGUUUUGGACACCAUAGCAGACAAACACCGACUCAAAGGGUUCAUAAAACGCUAAAAGGGGCACGAAGCACACAUGGAAGUUCUUCUUGCAAGGCCAAAAUCCAAUGGCAGAUACAAAGUAUGUACAUAGUUUUCUUUCAUGAUAACAUAGUCCUGUCUGUGUUGGUUAUCAUGCACCCAGAGAGCUGCCUCGCAGGCACGCUGCAUCUUUUUGCCAGCCUUUGACUACAUUUAGCAUGUAGAACUGGUUCUGUACAGGCACACGUUGUAGAGGCACCAGCCCUCACCAUAUAGAACAGUUUGACAGUUCUUACUUGCUGCACUAAGGUCAGCCAUGGCUCUCUGUACAUAUUUGUAUUUCAAUCCUGGCCCAGCAGGCUUGCAGAUGGAUGCAGAGCUCACGUAUGGCAUGGACACCAGCGGUGCUGGGGAGGAGGGACUCUGUGGUGUCCAAAAGUGAUUAGCUUUACUUCCAAAAGGGGAAUUCAGAGAGAAAAUGCAUUGCAGCACUUGGUCCUGGCACUAGCUGUAAUGUAGAUGUCUGUCUGAUGGGCACUGGUCUAAGACCAACAAAAUGCGAUUCAUACAGGCCACUGAGCAGCUUCUCAUGUUAAUGACUUUUGAAUGCCAGUGGCCUGAAUUGCAUCUGUAUUUUAUUAACACUGUUUACAGAGGGAGUAGAAUUCCAGAUGGAGCAUAAAGUACCUUUUUUCUUGUUCUUCCCAUAAUUGCAAAUGCUCAAAUUGCACUUGUAGCUGUUUUAUGACUUGACAUUGACCUUACACUCUUUGCAUUUUCUACAGCGGAACACUGCAAUUUCUAGGGAGUAGAAAGGUUAUACAGAACUGGUCAAUGCUCUGUGUGAUGCAAAUAAAAAUAAAGUUGUGAGUGUUUAAGCAAGUAUUUCUUUCCAUUUGGUCUUUGAAUUUUUAUUGCUUCCAGCCAGGUCACUUGAAAUUAAAUUGUCCUUCACAGUUCAAGCUAUGGUUGCCUUACGGAUGGCAUAAAGACAGUGCUUUAAGGUCAUUAGAGCCCUGAAGAUGUUAGAGCAGUCCAGAUGAUUUGCAUCUCUAAGGGAAAGGCUUUUAUUUCUGAACUGUUCACCUAAUACUGAUUUGAAAAUGUACCUUUUUCUUCUUCUUCUCAUGAAAACGCCUGUGCCAAGAAUUAGAAAAAGCCUUACUUACAGCCUUGAUGCAUCACCUCUCCAGCAGCUCCCUGACCUGCUGCACUUUGGGUGGCAAUGAUGGCAAAGAAAGAAAGGAGCACUUUGGGCCUCGGAGCUACCAUCGAUCUCAGACAAGGUGAGGGGAAGGAGGCGGGUGCCUCAGCUCCAGAUCAGGGACCAGAUGCACCAUCUGCUUUGUACUGCACUCUCCUGAUGGGAAGACAGCCAUUUCCACUGACAGCUCUGGAGUGGAGGAGACUUUUUCCACUUUCCUGCUUGCUCCUAGUGGGGAAUGCUGUGCAGCCUCCUGGAAGUUGGAAUGCUUAUUGCGUGUGUUACUGAUGCUCCUGCACGUCCCCUGCCAGAUAGGAGCGGUGGUGCCUCUACACCUCAGCUUCCAUCUGCACCUUCCCUUUCAGCAGUGACCUUGGGGUGCGAUGGGAAAGCAUGGAAGUGCAGAUCAAAAACUCUUCAAGAAACGCAGCUAGGAAGCAAGCAGCAUACUGUAGUAUGUGGCUGCUGGAGCUGAGACACGACUGUCCUCUCUGACACGACUGCAGGGAAUCCGUGCAAUGCUUCUCAGAAAUAAUUUGUUUCUGCGCUGGAUCUACUUUUGCACAACGGGGAUACUUGCCUCUAUCAAACCGGUGGUCGAAAUCCGAGGUCGGCGCGUGAAGGAGGAGAGUGAACUUCCCGGUGAUGCCUUUAGAUGUCUCCCUUCCUCGUCUGUUCGGCGAUGACAGCAGGGGCUGGGCUGCCUGCGGGUUGGGCUGCAGAGCAGUCAGAUUGCCUCGGAGGGUAAACGAGGAUUUUUGAAAACCUUCUAAAGCAAAAGUUAAUGGAAAAGAGAGCCUCGUUGCUCACAGAUACGUCAUUACUUUCUCAGGCGUUUAUGAACAAAUAAAAUGCAUCUACUACAUGGGACAAGAGUUCUUCCCCUGUGCCCCACGCUCCAGCCCUACCUCCAAGCAAUUGUCUUACUUAUUACAAUUUCAACAUCUCUUCUCUUUGAAGUACAACCUGUUGUUUCGUUAUAUUAUUUCCAUUCAUGCUGUGGAAAUAAAACUUACGACAGUGUCGAUUUCUCAGAUCCGCUUGUAGACUUGGAAAUUUGCAUCAGAUUAUUCUAAUCACUUAGCCUUGUUGUAUAUAUUUACACAAGCACUUUUGAUGUUUAAACAGACCAGGCUGUAAUGAGAUAGGCGCGGGGAAAUAAAUACCCCAAAGAAAAGGAAUGUUCUCUUUUUUUCAGGCCGCUUCCUAAACUAGAAAUGUUCAGCUAAAACAGUGGGUCAGUGCCUUUGGGACCUGAGGGAAUGACUCUAAGGGUGGAAGCACGGAGGGAUGGAUCUGCCUUCAGAUGCACUGGGCAGAGAGAAGAGCAUCUGGGUGCCUGUGAGGGUGAGGAGCGUGCUGAGGACUUGUCCUUCUGUGCCCUUUGUUACAGCUGUAAGCCGCCUCCUUGGCCAUCCUGGCACAAGAAACUAUCCCACAUGAACCCUAGAUGUCAAUAUGCAUUGACACAAGUUUCUAGAGGCUGAGCAGGAAGAGGAUCAGCUCCACUGAUUUCAGUGGCAACAGUUGCAGACACAGCAAAAAGUCCUGGGACUGACUGUGGUGCAAUUGUGCUGGCUCAGCUCCAGACAUGCAGGAAGUCCUGCAGCAUUGUGUUCCUGCAGGCAGGAGGCCUGGUAAGCACAGCAGCCACGCAAUCAGGUUAACUCAGUCUUGAGGCCGGCUCCAUUAGAUCAAGAACAACAGGCAAACAGAAGCAGCCCUUACAUAGCAAAUGUAGAAAAAGGUGGAGAAGUAGACCAGGUGAAGGAGAGACAGGAAUCUUAUGGACUGAAGAAGACAAGAAAUCUUACCCUAAGAUGCAGGAAAUUGCCAAUUGUUUCAUUUACAGUUCAGCUUCACAAAGGCCAGGGGAUCGUAUUUACAUUUGCAUGAUAGAACACAAAGAAUACUUGCAAUUCUUGAAAUAGCAGAAAGGGAGAACAUUCUGGAUGACCCUGUUGUUAACGUAGUCUUGAAGUGGAAUCUGGAACAAAUCAGCCAUUACACAAUAAACCACUCAAAAGACUACAAAAAACUGCGUGUCAGCACAGUUUUAAUUUUGUAACGGGAGUUAGUGAAGUUUGUGUGUAAGAACUUAAAGAAAGAAAAAGAGAAGCUUGUUCUGAGAAGAUGCACUUCCAUAAACUCAGUGACAGAUGAGAGCAGACUUUGUAACUCUCACACUGAAAGUGAUCUAUCCACUUAGACAUGCAAAUGUCGUUUUGAAUAAGUCUAACAUUUUGAAUUGUCAACGGUGGAAAGAGGUUUCUCUAAAGGCAAGUUGUAUUCUUCAGUUAUCCUAAGCUUGUAAACCAUGUAGAACCAAGGGGGAAAAAAAAGAACAAAAUUGAAAGAUUCUGCUUUACUAGCAUUUGGUGACUGAAAGAUUCCGCUUUACUAGCAUUUGGUGACUGAAAGAGCUCAUUAAGAUAACAUUUUCCACUUUAUAACCGCUUCACAAGCAAAUAUUCCUGGCAGCACUGCUCCUCUCAUACUUAGGGAUACUUUAAAGAGGAUGGCCAGGACCUUUGCCUGGGCCAGAAGAGAAGCAAGCGCAUGGCCAGUGCUGGCUGGGCAGUCUCUGAGCACAUUCCUCUGCCCUCCAUGGAUGCAGCAGCAGUAACACCCCAGGGCUUUCAUUCUAGCUGACUUGUUUUGUCUUAUUCCUAACUUGCGAGUUAUAUGCCUUGUUGCACCAGUAACUUCAUGAGACUCUGUGACCCACUUGAAGCAUGGUCAGAGACUAAUGGUCCCUCUUCACCUUAAAGGACAUGCACUUGUGAAAUGAUCAGAAGUACCAGGAGAUUCACAACUUUUCUCCUUCACAGAAGUAUCCCAAGACAUAGAUAGCACACACAGUGGGAACCAUGUCAUUUUCCCUCAGCAGCAACUGAUUCAGCAGCACCAUCUUGACCUAUGCCAGCUACUGCUUCAGCUCCUUGCCUGUAGGAGAGAGACAAAUGGACUUUGAUAGCUAUCCAACAUGAGCAGAACUCUCCCAUGGUGGACAGGUUUGGAAUACUCCAGGUCUAACAAAAUGGGAGCUCCUAUCAGUUCCACCCUGAGGUCUCAUGGAUGCCUCGAGUAGCUUUGCAGCUCCAUUGUGACAUUACACCAAUUUUCCAUCAUGACCAGCAUGAUCCUACUUGGAUAUUCCAGGUGGUGCCCUGUCCCUACCUCCUAAGGGAUAGCUCAUGUCUGACAGCAAAAGCAGAUUUCAAUGAUGUUCUUGAUUUAAAUCCAGAAAACAACAUCUUGAUGAACUCAUGCUCCUGGUUAUUAGUAGAGACUACCAGAUUGCUGCACAUCAGGGAGGGGAACUGCAUUUUCCUUCUCAACUUCUUGUAACCUAAAGGAGUAGAAAGACUGCUUUAUGCUUAUGGUCGAUAGGGUGCAUGGUGUGCACAGAGAAAUCACACUUCAUCUUGCAAAUUUAUCAUACUAUUAUUCUACAGUUUUUCUACAGCUAAAACCUACAAGUUGCUAAAAUUGCUACCAUUGUUAAAUGCUACUCAGACCUGAAAUACAUCUAUAGUUAUCAAAACUGAGCUGGGAAGCCAAUGGGUAUAAGAGACCUAACUGUGAAUGUCUUGCUCCAGGUUACUUUCUGUAGUUGGUAAUAGAGAGAAAGAAAGAUUUGCAUUAGCAGUUCUGAUCCAAGCAGGACGUAGUAAAAUUGGGAAUCAUUUUCAUGUAAACACCUAAUUAAGCUUUGAGUUCUAGUUUAGUUUUGGAAGCAAGUUCUGAAGUACUUAUAACAAGGAUUAAAAGAUGUAACAAAGGGACAAGAGUCUUGAAACAGCUCCUGAAGUCAGGGUUGCUCACCUUUCUGCUUCCUGAUUAAGGCAAAGAUAACAUCUGCAAUAAACUGGAGUGAACUGAUUGAUUUGCUUGAGAAGUUUCCAAAAGCAUAAGUACCUUUUCCUGAAGCAACCUAUCGUGACAAAAAAAAAAUCCCUUUCCUCUUAAAAAAAAAAAUCACAUACAAAAUAUGCACAUUUCAGCACUUUUCCUCCCUGAGGCUUUCUCAGUCUAGGAAAAAAAAGAGAUGUUUUUUUCCAAUUGCCUGUAAAAGGUUUGCAUCUCUGCCAGGUGGUUUGCAUCUGACAGUCAAAUACUGCUGAUGAGAAUCAUCAGUUCCUUCAAGGACUUGACAUUGCAUCCAAUUUGUUUCGCAAGUGAGUGUGUAAGGAAGUGACUGCAGCUAUUAUUCUGUUAGAUUUAGUCAAAACAUCCCCAGAAGAGGUAGGAGGGCAUGCUGGGAAUUGUUUGAUGAGCCUGCUGGGAGAAUAAUUACAUGGCCAGCAGUUUGUUCACUUUAUCUUCUGUAGCACUUUCUUAGUGCCUUUUGUGUGGUUUGAGUACUCGGCUUUUUGAAUGAAAGAAUAUUUACUGCUAUUGUCUCUCCAGCUAAUUCCCAGAUUAUGCUGUCUCAGAUGUGCAUUCUGGGAUAAUUCUGUGUUACAUUAAGUAUUAUGAAAUUUAAAUAUUUUCUUCAAUAUUCUCUUCCUUACUCGAGAUGGAAUUUUCUGCACCAUAACUGUGACUGAACUGGGAAGAGUUGCCCUCUGAUUAUGAUGCUUACACAGACCAUAGGACCAAUUCUGCUGUAAUCUUGCUGCUCUGAGCAGGACGAAUGUCAAAACUUGCAACUUCAAGACAAUUUUUUGGGGUUAAAAUGGCACAUAUAAACGUUGAUUUUGUUUUUAAUGUAACGUCUUACAGCUUAAAGCUUUCAAGAGUAGCCUAGGUAGCAGGGAAACAAAGAUCUGUUAGAGUUUCAGUUUGUUUCAGCAGCUUUUGAAAAAAAUAAAUGGGUAUGAGCCCCUGGAAGACAGCAUGUGGAAGUAUUACCAAAAUAUUAAUUCUGAGGUGACAGGAAAAUCGAAAGCUAUGAAAGGAAUCACAUUUAAAACUGGAAACUGUGCUUAUUCAGCUGACUACAAGGGGGUCCAUGACAGCUGUGGGCGCCUUCUAUAAGGCAGGGAUGCAAUAAAAAAGGUGGUAAUAGCAAACCUCAUCCAGCAAUCCACCUUCCAAGAGCAGUCUGACUGCUCCUCUCUAGACCAGUUCUCUUCUCAGCUGCUGUUCCUGAUCCAGCAGACCUGUGUGUGUGUAUCCUAAGCCAUCAGUCUCACAUCUCUCUGGUGGGUGCAGUAUGUGUGCUUUUUGGCACUCCAGGAGGAAAUACAUGGCUGCACAUCCCUUGUUUUAAAUAAAUUGAAGUGAAUACAAAAGAAGGAGAAGAGAAAAGUAAAGGAUGUAAAAAUUACCAUACCAGAGCCUUUUGCUGCUAGAAAUAUGGAUAAAAAAUAUUGCUUGUGACUCCAGUGAAAUGAGCCUGCUCUUAGAAAGCCUUCUACAAUCUAUCUUGUUUGUGCACUUUAGACUUCAGAAGAACUAACCUUAUUGGAAUAGAGUUGGAAACAUUGGAUCAUUGGCCAAAGCUUUAAAGAAAAUGUUUCCUUGCUACAGAAAGAACAUUAGCAUUCUCACAAAGAAGGUUCCAUAGAAACAAGAAAUACAUUUUUACAGCAAAACUCCCUUUGAUGUGAAUCUUGAGCAAAGCACAAAAAAAGGGCCAGUGGGAUUCUAUUUCCUUCUGUGUACGCUUUUGCAAUUCUUUUUUUUUUUUUUUUUUUUGCUAAUGGGCCACCUGGGAUAUUGUCUUUCUGGUGACUGAACUAAGGCACCUUAGCAGGGUGGGAGGGAUACAAAGGAUUCCUCAAAGGAACGCACUUGCUCUAAGCAGCUUCUCAGAGGGAAAUAUUUCUGUGUCUUUUACCCAUCUUUUCGGUUUCUUCACAAUGUCUCCUUCACCUUACAGUUGCACAGCAGAAGUGCAACUUGAAUUAGCAGCCAGCAUCAGCUCCAGCAAUCUGCUCCUGACAGAAGCUAGUGCUGGAGAAAAAAAAUCAAGAAAUUACCUUACUGGCAACAAAGAAAUGUCAGGUUUAAAAGAAAACUGUUACACAGAGAAAUCACUUAAACUGUGAGGAAAUUGAUAAAAGAAAAAUGUCUACUGAGGAAGAACGAGGACCUUAUAAUGUGACAUGCUCAGAAAGUCACUUACAUGACUUCUGAUGUACAUUUGUCCCAGUUGAACAGAACAAGGCUCUUUCUUCAAACAAGGAGCAAAAAAGCUACAUUGCACUGAUUGGAAAAAACAAAUCUUAUUUUCCAUGUCUGUGCCCUGAACAAAAAAAGAAGUAGAUGAAAGGAUGGUGUUGUAACAGAUCAGGCUUCAUACCACAUCAGAGUUUAUCAAGAAAAUGACAUACAGACAUAAUAGUUGCAGGAUAGCAACUCAUAGGUCAAGAAAAAACAGAAAGGUAAUUUCAUUUGCUCCAGAUCUCCAGAAAGUCUUUAAGAAUUGGUAAGAACCUGGUGGCAGCAAACCACCAGACAUACUUGUUUGUCAAGGAACAAAGCUCUCAUAAUAUGAUGGGCAAUGUCACAAAAAAGCAUGAAAUUCUUAUGUAGAAUGAAUUAGUCUUCAAAAGAGGCAGGCAUCUGAUCAAACAUCUAAUUGUUAAUCAGUUGUCAAGCAAUUUCACUACUCCUACUAAAUUCAAAAUCAUAUUAUGACUAAUUUCAGCCACAUACCAUCUGCAAAGCAGCCUGAAUACUUUGCUUCCAUUCUGGCCUGUACACUAACAACAGAUAAUUAUUAAACGGCGUAAUGACCUGCUAAGAAUACUGUGGAAAACCCGCUGUAGUACUGGUUUAUUGGAAUUCAUUAGAGAAUGAUAUUUGAAAUCAGCUGGGUUACUAACACUAGCCAAAUAUCUGGUUUUAUGUGUGGGCUUAUCUCUCCAUAAUCACUCCCACAUGGACUAAAGUUUGUGUUUAGUUCUGACAGUAGAAGUAAAAGAGAAGCUAUCACUGGUAAUAACAAUUCUAGUCACGUACUGGACCAGGUUCAUUCCUGAAAUAAUUCUAGUCGAAGGUGUUCAGACUACUAUAUGCAUUAAUUUAAUCUACUAGAUUUGCCCAUUGCAUGCUAUCUUGGGUCAUCCUUAUAUUCUCACUAACCAGCAAUGGAUGUAACACACUGUUAGGAAAACACUUGCUUAUAGCAGUGACGUCACCGCAAAGUGAAAACAGAUGCUAACUAAAUUCUAAUAUGCGCAAGAAAGUGUGUUGGCAGCUGCAACAAAUAUCACAGUAACUGUGGAAUUCUCAUAUUGCAAUGUCUGACAAUACAAAGCAUAAGAAGCAACUAGAAAUCUAAAAGAAAACUGAAGGUGCCACCCCUAAAGAGGAAAUCUACAGAACAACAUUCUACAAUCUACAUCAAAUCUACAACAUCAUUAAAAAAAACAACACAGAAAAAUGUAUAGAAAAUUCCACCAGGUACCUCAUAUCACCACUUUUUCUCAUAUGCAGCGAGAAAAAUACUCACACCUCACCUCAUCCAUCUGAAUAGAGCUCAGUAAGAACUCUGAUCUGAAGGAUGAAUGAACCUUUGAACAAGUCAAGUCAUUUGAGAAAUGCAGAGAAACUUACCAUGAUGCAAAAGAUCAAGUGUCACUGCAUGCACAUCUCUCAUUGCCCUAUUGUACCCUAAACUAAAAAUUUAGUGUGAAAAAUCUUAGAGUUACAGUCUAAGCUAGAAAGAAACAUCAUAUUGUGCAAGAAUUUUGCCCAGAAACUCCACUCAUUGCUCUUAAGUAAAGUUUAGAGACUUGGCUGUCUUGAUUGCCAGCAGCAAAUUUUCUUUAGGAUAUCAUACAUCAGACCAUUUUGAGGCAAAACCACUUCCAGUUUGUCAACAAAUUUCCUGCAGUAAAGGCUACAGAGGAAUCAAAUUGUUAUGCAAGUCAUCCCAUGCAUCAAAUGUCCUUAUAACAAUUACCUCUGUGGAGUCGAAGACUGAAUACAUGCUAAACUGAGCUCAUCCAGGCAAUAGAGAUCACAUCCAACCAGUUUUUUGCACUGUUUUCAUGGAGCAAUGGUGUCAUGUUUGAGUAGUGAGCUCUUUGGCAACCUGCAAACAAACUACAGAGUCAGGGUGGGGGUUACACUCAACGACCCGUUUCUUGCUUAAGUGUAGCAGAGCUAAGAGAUGCCGCCUUUCUAAGACAAUACUAUCUUCUCCCUUCCCUCUCCUGUCAGCUUCUCACUUCGCUAUUGCUGAUUAUUACUGUCUCUCUUCACCUCAUAGGGCCUAACUAACUUAUUUCCAGCAUUCUAGGAGAUUCCUUUAUUUCUAUGAAGUCACACACUUUCUCCUCCCCACAGCAAGUGUUCUCCCUGGUCAAGGAACUUUUUUUUGCUUCUACGGCAGGUCAACAUAUAAAAAUAAGUAGGUCCCACCCACCCAGACAGUAGGUCAACACAUAAAAGAAAUAGGUUCUACCCACUCAGGAAAAAAAAAAAAAAAAAGCAUGCUGAAAUAUUUCUUCUCUCAGUAAGCCAUAAGAGAACCUAUAGACUCUAGUUUACUUUUACACUAAAUCUGUUCACAUUUGAAACAACAAAGGCAGUAGCAAUUAUAUGCUGCUUGAGUUUUCAAACCACUGCCUCUGUCUUGUAACUCCAACAAACAGAUAUUUAAUCUCUAUUGAUCUGUUUAGCUAACCCUUCCAGCACGUGCGCUUGGGUACACAGUGUCUAUUAUAUUCACUUAGAUUUCUAGUGCUUGUUCUGGAGUGCUUUUUACAAACACAGCAGUAUCUCUUGUGGUUUUAAUCAAAGACAUUUGCAUGGCAUGACCCACUUAGAUCUGCAGCUAAUGCUGUGAACUAUUUUAUUUUUUCAAGUAUCAAGGCUAUGCAAUUACUGAAUGGUAAGCUCACCUAUAUCACUAAACACCUGCCAAGAAGAAUAUUGCAAAAAAAUCUCAAGACAUACAAGCUGGGCUGAAGAAGCAAUAGUAAGUAUGUAGCACAAAACUGGAUGAAAAACAGAUACAUAAACAUUUCCAUCUGUAAUCUCUCUGACACAUGGAUUAUUGCUGAAGUUUAAAUUCUGAGAUUCAACAUCUUAGCAUUUAUCCACUUCUAACAUGGAUCUUCUGAAAUCUUGCCAAGGGAAUGCCAGCUAAGUCUAACUGUCCUCAUAUCUCUUUAAGAUAUGCACAAACAGUAAAACCAUAGAAGAGUGAAACAACUUCCAAAAAGGAUUCCAGGUCAUUGAGUCUGACUGGAAAUAGUGUGAAGCAUAUCUGGCCAUAUUAGUUAUUCCAGAGUCUAUUCACAGAAACAGUAUUGUCUGAUUGCAAGACGUCUUGUCAAAUCUUUGCAUAAUCACAACCCAUCAGCAGGACAAAGCAAAUGAAGUGCAAAUAUUAGAAGAUGAAACAAUUACUUUUCGUUGAAUACAGAGGAAUGGUAAUUAUGAUCUGAUUUUGUUUCCUUUUUAAUAGCUUUAUGUCAUCUACUUCCACCAUGUGCGCCUUUGGUUGGGAAAUUUUAUGAUUAAAAUUAAUCUACUUCUGGUCUACAAGGUCUUUUCAGUAAUGUAUUAUUGGAAAGUCUCAUUUUGAUGAUUUAUUAAUCUAAUGUAUCAUUAUAGAACUGUCAUGCCAUACAGUUCUGUUCUUUCUUACUGUCAGGUACUUUGGUGACAGUCUUCCUGAACGUGCUUCUGGCCAGCAGUCAUUUCUAGAAAUAUGUUAAAUGCAAUAAAUAAUAAGAUAAAAUAAGGAAUAGCUUCUUGAUGGAAAAAAAAAUAAUCUGAUACUAAACACAGCAUUUUGACACUACUUCUAGAGCAGUGUUUCCUUUGCUGGCUAUCAUUCUUCCUGGGAAGUUAACAGAAGCUUUAGGAUUAAGACUAAUCAAGAAAGAUGGUAACUUACAGCCAAGGUGGCCAAACACUGUAUUCCUUAUCUCCUUUCUAUUAUUCCUCUCUUCUCUACAAGUGCAAAGUAUGCUUUUCUCAUCAAGGGUUUACUCCUAGCAAGUCAGGACAGCUGCUCCUAGUAGAGCACUAUAUAUAUACAUAUAUAUAUAUACUAUAUUCCUAUGAACACUGAAUCUUGUUAAAUGGUAAAUUGUUAAAACUCCAUUUAGGGACUCCUAGGUGAAGGUUGUUUUGCAAUGAACUGUUUUGGGCACUGAUCAGAACAACAGCAUUCUUAUGCUUCCUCAAAAACUUAAAAUACCAGAAAGCACAGAAUUUACUAAGAAGGAAAGGACACUAAGCCAGAACUUGGUGAGAAAUCUGUGCUACCACUAUCCUGUCACAAAACAACUGUAUGUCAUGUGAUCACGGAGUGCCAUUGCACAGAAAUGUAGGACAAGUCAGAUGGUAAGACUACAGGAAAAAAAAAACAAAACACAGAAAACAUCAAGAAAGCAUUUGUGUUGCAGCUAGAAAAUAGCAAGCAGGUUAUCAACUAACAGAGACAAUUUCUAUGCCUAUGUUUUGACUAAAAAGUUCUAAUUUUCUAUGUUAUCAAAAAGCGUGGGCUGGUAUUGCUGUAAACCUUUUAGGUAGAAAAAGAUAUAGAACAAGUAAACUUAAUUUAUCUUAUAAAUAAGUAACAAUUCCCAUCACCGCAUUCAGUAAAUGUUCUGCAGUGAGAAAACUCUCAGGAUUUCCAGGUAAAUACAGAAUACUAAGUAACAAAGACAAUAGGACCUCACCUCAAAUCACUGAAGACAGUGAAAUAAAAAAGCCAAUCAGCUUCAGUGACCCCAGGAUCACUAACAAAAUACCUAAAUUUGAUACUAUUAAAACAGAGUAUUUGGAAUAGACCCCCUGUGUUGGGACUCACAGAGUGAAAACUAUUAAUAAUACUAAUUUUUAAUAUUUGGAGAUGUUUUCAUUUUUUUUUUUUUUCAAAUAUGCCCAAUUAAAAUUUCCCUUCAUUAUCUCCCCCCCCACCCCCACCCCCCAAUUCCCCCAGGUAUAAAGAUGUAUUUCCUAAAAUCUUUUUGGUCAGCUGGCUGAAUACUGCCCCAAACUGUCUCCAUAUGUUUUAUUGCUCUGUUUUGGUAGUGUACAGCUUUUCAGCAGUUUUGAAGGUAGAAGUUAAUUUAAAAAGUUCUCACAUCAAAGAACAGUAGAAGUAAGUGUAGUGAUAUACACUGGCUGCAGUCAGUGUCACUGGGCAGUUUUUUGUGCUGGCUUCAAAUAUUAAAGGUACUGUUUGUGCACUUGCAGGUUCCAGAAGGAGUGGAUUUGAAUGGUCAUUAUUGUUUUCAAGUUGGAAGGAACCCAUGUGGAUCUUUAUCAAACAGCUCUGUAACUGAAAGAAACAUAAAUACUGGAGAUGUAAAAAAAAAAAAAAAAGCAUAAUUUAAAAAAAUAAAUAAUCAGUAAGUGAAUGAAAACAGACUGUCAGAAAUGGAUGGGCAACUUCCACAGUUGUAUUGAAUUCGCUAUGCAGUUACCUUGUUUUUAAAGAAACAUUUCCUAGGUUCAGCCUUCUUGGGAUGCUGUAAACACCUGAGGUAAUUCAGUGGUUUGCAUAUAUCAAGGGACAAGUUUCACUUCCGUGGAAUUUAAGAGGGAAACUCCCAUUAACACACAGAAAAUUACAAAUGAAAUUUCAAGAAAGCUUAUAAAUCCAGUGGGUCAAUUUAGGUGCAUUUGUUCCCCCCAGACAAGAAGCAAAACUUUGAGGACAACUUUCCCACAUGCUCCCAACAUAGGAAUUAUCCAGAAGUGGUGAGUUAAUCAUAAAGCAAUUGGAUACUUUCACACAGUUUCUUAAUGUAUUUGAUCCACUAAGUUUCCCAAUCAAUUUCUUUUAGCACCUGAAAUGCAUAUAGUUCAUCUACCACUUAGAAAAUACAAAGGUUUUAGGAACUUUUUCAAACAUAUACUUUGGUAUUUAUACCAAGAAGUCAAAAGGAGCAGAGAGAACUUCUCCAGGUUGUGUUAAGAGAGCUAGCUGCCUUUGUAGCGUUAACAGUGGUAACUCAUAUACAGAAAAUGUAUUUGUGUCCAGUGGCAUUUCUAUAUAUCAAUAUUCAUUCAGAAGAAAGAAUACAAACAAAAAGCUGCACUCAGGAGAAGGAUUGAUGAGAGCCUGUAUAUAGUUACGUUAACUUCUAUAUCCUGGAACAGAUCUAAGCAUUUCAACGUCCUCAGUAUUCCUGUUGGUAACUGAGAAAGUUCUCUGCAAGUGAGAUAGAGAAUCCGACUGUUAGGUGCCUAGUUAGCUAGAAUGCCUCCCCAGAGCACUACAUAAUUAAGGGAGGAAAAGAGAGGCUGCAAUUCAUGAUCCUCACUUUCUUUGGCUACCACAUUGCUAAGUGGAGUUUAGGGUACCUAAUGCCGUGAAAUACCUGGCUUUCAAAGUGUCAAUUCCCUGAAUAAAUCAGUCUGAAAGAGAGCAUGUAACCAAUGUCACCUCCAAAUUACACUCUAAAUAUCCAGUUAAAUGAUCAAUUAAGUAAUGUUCCACAUUAAGGAACAGAAAGGAAGGGGCACAACAAUAAAUUUCACAAAUACAGGAAGUGGUGCCUGGGAAGGAUUGCCCACAUUAAAAAUUUACCAUCUAAUCCUCUGUCUGCUUGCCUCCCCUGACCAUGGCUGUUUUAUGGUUCAGUGUUUGGAAUACCAACAAGAAAAUCUUCAAAUUUCUAUUGCAGACCAUAACAACUUGGUUAUUUCUGAGGCACAUAAUGUUCAUUUACGUCUAUCAUUUCCAAUUCUCAUGCUACGAUUCACGCGCAUUCCCUUUUCUUUUUGAUAAUAGUAAGAAUAAAGACUUGCAUCUGAAAAGCUGUUCUGAAAGGCAGGCAACAAAUAGUAGAGGAUUCCCAAGCUGGACAGAAAGCAGAAUUUACUCAAGACACAGAUGUAACAACACCAGAUGUGUAGGUGUCUGGUCUAGUAUUAGAUAUGGAGGCUGGCAGCCCUGCCUGUGGCAGGAGGGAUGGAGCUUGAUGAUCCUUGAGGUCCCUCCCAACCCAAGCCAUUCUGUGAUUCUAUGAUCCAUCUUCAUAUUUUGUUUUUGAAGUUCUGAGCAAUAAAAGUUGUUUGUAAAACUA
ensembl:lncRNA